rnacentral:miRNA from 1 species
UAUCACAGCCCCGCUUUGAUGAGC